UAAGACGAACCGUGCGAACGUUGUUCGGAUUCACUGGGCUUAAAGGGCGCGUAGGCGGAUCCAUCAGUCUGUGGUGAAAGCCCCCGGCUCAACCGGGGAACAGCCGUGGAUACUGUGGGUCUGGAGGGAGGUAGGGGCAUGCGGAACUUCCGGUGGAGCGGUGAAAUGCGUAGAGAUCGGAAGGAACGCCGGUGGCGAAAGCGGCGUGCUGGACCUCUUCUGACGCUGAGGCGCGAAAGCCAGGGGAGCGAACGGGAUUAGAUACCCCGGUAGUCCUGGCCCUAAACGAUGGGUACUAGGUAGUGGGCCGACAUGGGCUCACUGCCGAAGCAAAAGUGUUAAGUACCCCGCCUGGGGAGUAUGGUCGCAAGGCUG
rnacentral:rRNA from 1 species